rnacentral:rRNA from 1 species
GACGAACCGUGCGAACGUUAUUCGGAGUCACUGGGCUUAAAGCGCGUGUAGGCGGGGUGGCACGUCGGUCGCUGAAAGCCCCCGGCUCAACCGGGGAAGGGGCGCCGAUACGACCACCCUGGAGGGACGUAGGGGGACCUGGAACUUCCGGCGGAGCGGUGAAAUGCGUUGAGAUCGGAAGGAACGCCGGUGGCGAAAGCGACGUGCUGGACCUCUUCUGACGCUGAGGCGCGAAAGCCAGGGGAGCAAACGGG